GACGAACGCUGGCGGCGUGCCUAAUACAUGCAAGUCGAACGAGAGCGACCGGUGCUUGCACUGGUCAAUCUAGUGGCGAACGGGUGAGUAACACGUGGGUAACCUGCCCAUCAGAGGGGGAUAACAUUCGGAAACGGAUGCUAAAACCGCAUAGGUCUUCGAACCGCAUGGUUUGAAGAGGAAAAGAGGCGCAAGCUUCUGCUGAUGGAUGGACCCGCGGUGCAUUAGCUAGUUGGUGAGGUAACGGCUCACCAAGGCCGUGAUGCAUAGCCGACCUGAGAGGGUGAUCGGCCACAUUGGGACUGAGACACGGCCCAAACUCCUACGGGAGGCAGCAGUAGGGAAUCUUCCGCAAUGGACGCAAGUCUGACGGAGCAACGCCGCGUGAGUGAAGAAGGUUUUCGGAUCGUAAAACUCUGUUGUUAGAGAAGAACAAGUGCUAGAGUAACUGUUAGCGCCUUGACGGUAUCUAACCAAAAAGCCACGGCUAACUACGUG
rnacentral:rRNA from 1 species